AUUGAACGCUGGCGGCAGGCCUAACGCAUGCAAGUCGAGCGGAUGAAGGGAGCUUGCUCCUGGAUUCAGCGGCGGACGGGUGAGUAAUGCCUAGGAAUCUGCCUGGUAGUGGGGGAUAACGUCCGGAAACGGGCGCUAAUACCGCAUACGUCCUGAGGGAGAAAGUGGGGGAUCUUCGGACCUCACGCUAUCAGAUGAGCCUAGGUCGGAUUAGCUAGUUGGUGGGGUAAAGGCCUACCAAGGCGACGAUCCGUAACUGGUCUGAGAGGAUGAUCAGUCACACUGGAACUGAGACACGGUCCAGACUCCUACGGGAGGCAGCAGUGGGGAAUAUUGGACAAUGGGCGAAAGCCUGAUCCAGCCAUGCCGCGUGUGUGAAGAAGGUCUUCGGAUUGUAAAGCACUUUAAGUUGGGAGGAAGGGCAGUAAGUUAAUACCUUGCUGUUUUGACGUUAUCAACAGAAUAAGCACCGGCUAACUUCGUG
rnacentral:rRNA from 1 species